rnacentral:rRNA from 1 species
GGACGAACGCUGGCGGCGGUGCUUAACACAUGCAAGUCGAGCGGUAAGGCCCUUUCGGGGGUACACGAGCGGCGAACGGGUGAGUAACACGUGGGUGACCUGCCCUCAGCUCUGGGAUAAGCCUGGGAAACUGGGUCUAAUACUGGAUAUGACUCACGGUGCAUGUCGUGGGGUGGAAAGCCUUGUGCGGCUGAGGAUGGGGCCCGCGGCCUAUCAGCUU